UGCAGAGUGGCGGAAAGUAGACGCGCGGGCCCAGAUGCCCGUGAGUGCCCGAUCAGUACUCGUGUAGGUUCGAAUCCUACCUCUGCAACCA
rnacentral:tRNA from 1 species